rnacentral:tRNA from 1 species
GGGGAUUUAGCUCAGUGGUAGAGCUCUUGCCUAGCAAGCACAAGGCCCUGGGUUCAGUCCCAGCUCCG